UCGAAUGUUAAACAUGGGGAUGCUGCUGACUUAUCUAUAUGGAUGGGUAAUGUGCACUCCUCUAAAAAUAUUCAAAUCCACCUGUGCACAUUGAGUAGGCAAACAGAUUGAGUUCUGUGGGCCUAUGUUUUAUAUAUAAUCCUGUGAAAGAUGGUAUAUAUAUGAUGAAAAUAAUAUUA
rnacentral:misc_RNA from 1 species